AUAGCCGUCCACGGCUUCCUCCCGAGGGGAAGCGGAGGGGCAGGCACCGAUCUCUUCUCUCUGGUGACCAGUGACAGAACCCGGGGGAAUGGCCUGAAGCUGUGUCAGGGGAGGUCAAGGCUGAAUGUUGGGAAAAGGUUCUUCGCCCAGAGGGUGGUUGGGCACUGGAACAGGCUCCCCGGGGAAGUGGUCACAGCACCAAGCCUGACAGAGUUCAAGAAGCGUUUGGACAAUUCUCUCGGGCACAUGGUGUGAUUCUUGGGGUGUCCUGUGCAGGGCCAGGAGUUGGACUCGAUGAUCCCUGUGGGCUCGUUCCAGCCUGGGAUAUCCUGUGGUUCUGUGGCACAGGUGUGAGGGAAGGGCGUGUCGCAGCGCCCCUGAGCUAGGGCCCGCCGGGGGACCGGGCGUGUCCCUCAGCCUGGCGGGAUGAGGAGGCCCGGGAGCGAUGAGGAAUCCAGCGGGGCUUGGGGAGCUGGGGAUUCCUAAACCCUCUGUGUGAGGGGACGGAGCCCGUGGGGGUGCUGGGGCCCGCUGAUGGUGGCUAGUGGGUUGCCAGGGAUUGUCUCUUGUCUCUCAGUUGUCUCUUCUGCACCUUUGCUAAGGCCAGCCAGCCUCCCUUACCCACUUGAAGCUGAAAUGGGAUCAAAAAGACUUUGCAGCACAUCCUUCCACUCACAUCCGAUGGGCUACUUUUUUCCCCCAGGUGGGAAAAAUGCAGGGACAAUAACUGAAGAGCUGCAUGGAAGAGAGGGUUAUGAUAGAGAUGGUCCCAUCAUCCACUGGCCACUCUCCAAAGAGACAAAAGAGAAGAGAGGCAAUGGGUUGAGCACAAAAAUGGCCUGGAAGGAGGAUACUCCAAACUGUCUGAGACCUGCAAUAAAAUAUGCAGGAAGUUAUUGCUGCUUCAAGUGGCAUUAAGUCCUACCCGGUGCCUAGCGUGAGUCACAGAGCACACACAGGCUCCAGUGGUGGCAGCAGCGCAGCCUCUGCAGCUGUAGAGGGGUGGAAGUACCAGGCAGCGAGGGGAAGGCUGUCAUUUUGGAAAGGGUUGUGCUGGAUGGGAGGAGUGCAGCCAGACAAGCACACGAGCCUUGGUCCCUCUAGCCAGGCACAAGGCUGGCUUCCUGGCUCCAGCGCUCCCUCUGGACCCCCCUUGGAUGGUCUGUCAUUAAUUUAGUGACUGACUUGAACUUCAGCGCUUAAAGUGUGGAUAUUUCACCACCUUAACAGUAACUGGAUCCUAUCCACUACUUAGCAGUGAUUUCAGACACUGACUUGAAUGAAACCUUUUCCCACAAUGUUCAAAUUCAGUUCUCAACAGCUAAAGGGUAAGAGGUUCAGUAAUAACACAGGAACAGGUGA